AACUCUUUCCUGGCUUGUGGUGGUUUUGAAGGAAAGUAAAUAAUUCCCUCUUUAACAAUCUCAAGGGAAAUACCUGUGAAAUGCUUUGCACAGAUCGAACCCCAGAAUUUUCAUUGUGAGAAACUGCAGCAUUUCAAACCAGAUUUUUGUUUGGCACAGGUAGUCUAGAUGUCUUUUACAUAGGAAUUUCAGUCCAGAGGCACUGGAUAAUUCCAGUAGUAGCUCUUCUGCUCUUCGAAAAGCCCAGGUCUGGAUCCAACACCUUUUGGAAAACAGUAAAAUGAGGCUAAUUUCCAGCUGAGCAAAAGUUGGACUCAGAUAUGGAAACUCAAGAAGGACUUUACUCUGCAGGUCAGGAUUCCAGAAGAAUUUCAAGGUAUCACAGGCGAGUCCAUGCUCUCCAAC